CCGCGGUUAUACGAGAGACCCUAGUUGAUAAAUACGGCGUAAAGAGUGGUUUGGGGCAUAUUUCAAAUAAAGCCGAAGAUCUCCCAAGCCGUCACACGCAUCCCGGAGACACGAAGCCCCAAUACGAAGGUAGCUUUAACAAACACCCCCGACGCCACGAAAGCUAAGAAACAAACUG
rnacentral:rRNA from 1 species